UCAGAGAUAUAUUGGCAUUAAUUUAAGAUCAUGUAUUUACUGUACUCUCUACCUUACAGUCCGGAGUGCUCUUAUCUAUAUUUUUCCUGUGCAUGACAUUGGUGUAGAAUUGCCUCGAUGAUAAUUUCUCAUAUUAACACCUUGCUAGAUUAGUCUGGUUUUGUAACAAAAACAUGCCAAUUUAACAAGAGCUUACUUUUGGUGCCCUCCAUCUAAUAAUAAAUUGAGCUAUGAGUUAUUUACAAAUGUUAGCUUUAAUUUAUUCUUCCCUUGAAUGAAAUCCAAAACCAAAUCCUGAAUCUAAAACUACAUCAGUUCUCACAGUGUCUAGCUCCGUAGGCUACUGCUGACAGGGAAAAUGGAUGACUGGAGAAUUUUAUGGAAAUUAUGGAUAAGUAAAUGGUUUGCAGCGCCCAGGUGCCUGAAAAGCCCCCAGACUGUACAUUUUUUUGACUGAUGUGACAGUUUUUACUCUUCUGAGGAGAAACUCCCUGCUUCUGUCACAGUAUGCCAGGGGAAACGUCACUUUAAAUGUCUUCUUUGGCUGAGCGCCAUUCCCACUCAAUUGAAGAUAUUUAAAAUGCUAAGCACACAUGCAGGCUGAGUAGUGAGCAGUUAGGACAGAGUGUUGCAGCCAGCAAGUAGAUGGACAUAUGCAUUACCAUGUAAAAUGCAUGUUCAGCAACAAGGAUCUUAGAUAUCAACAUUCUAGAAGAGGUUUUAUGUUUACCGGUUGACAAGUUCAUGGCAUUCAUCAAUGUUGUGAAAAACCAUUAUAUAGCAAACAUUUGCAACUAGCCUCCAAAAGGAGUUUUUAUUUAUUUAUUUUUUGCUAUGCCAUAGCCUUGGCAAUCAAGGCUGGAACACAGAGUAUAUUUGGUGAUAUAUUUUGUGAGAGCAAUGCAGUCUCUGGGCUGUGGUUGCAUUCUCUCUUUCUCACUCCCUCUUGCUCAUGUCAUCUUUUGUUUACCCCUGGAGCGGGAAAAGUUGAGAUUCAGUUAGCUCCCCGAAAAGCCACUUGCAGCUGGUUUUCUCAUAUAUGCACGCACACGCAGGCACACACACGCACGCACGCGCGCACACACACUGAUAGAACUUAUUAGGUAUUUUUCACUUCCAUGCAUCAUAUCGUUGUUUGAAGAGCUUCACAAUCCAUCACAAUCCAUCCCAUCAUCAUCAAGUAAUUAGUGCACUAUGCUUACUGGUUUAUUGAUCAAUUUCCGGUAUUUGCUGUUAUAGGAAGUCUUAUUGCAAGGGAUGCCAAAAUUUAACCUACGAUUACGUCUACGAUUACGACUACAAAACAUCAGCUUCAAUCAUUAAUAAAGGUGCAAUUCAUGGAUGAGGCGUUGCAGCAGAUGGGUGGUCGAAGAGGGAAGGUGAACUGGUGUGCUGACAUGAGGACAACUAACCACAUCUUCAAUAGAUCUGGAUUGUCUAAAGGAGGAAAUCGGAGAACCUGGAGAACGCCCACGCAGACACAGGGAGAACAUGAAAACUCCAGACAGAAAGGCCCCGGUCGGGAUUUGAACAAAGGACCUUCUUGCUGUGAGAAGGAAUCAAGGACAGGAAGCAAUGUCAGUUAGCAAGGAGACAUUUUAAAGAAUUCAAAACCAGCCUAUGCAUGUGCACAGGAUCCUGUUGGCACUUCCACUGCAAACUCCCAUCUCAGAAAAACCUGUUUCCGUUGAAUGAAUACAUUUGGAUAUGGUCCAGCCAUUUUGAGAGUAGCAACAGGUCAUCAGAAUUCUUAAUAUAAGAACAAUCUUGCCUCAGGUUAAUGGGCUAUUUUCAAAAUUGCUUUAAUGGGCAAAAAACUAUGACUCAUUAUUGCAGAUGAUGAGGUCAAUGGAGCUGAGAAAAGGAUGUGACUACUUGGAAAUCUUGCAUGCACUGCUGAAAAGUCAGACGUGUUCUCCACUUUAAAUUAUACAACCUAACAGUAGUGUCUGGGGCAAUCGAAUU